rnacentral:lncRNA from 1 species
AGGCGCAAAAGUUUGCCAAUGUGUUCCUGGUUGCGUUUAGCCCAGACGCCCUGCGGCCGCUUUGCCUGACCAAAGUCUGUGGGCGUGGAACAGGCCCUGGGUUCUCCUACUGGGAAGAAUGAAGUUCAGGUACUCCAUGUGAUAUAUGGUUCCACAAUCCUCAGCGUGUUAACUGAAGCCUUGUUGAGUUUAACAAAGCUGCCAUUGAAGAUCUGGGGAAAGUGAAGAAGUUGCAACAGAGUUUUGGGCUCACACCAUUGAUACAUUUGAUCCUUAAGGCCCACCCCGCCUCACUCCCACCCUCUUCUACUUAAUUCAGGAUGUGAAUAGCACAUGCCUUCCAUCUUCAGACAAACACUGAGGCCUGGACAAUGACCUGCAUUAGGUAGAUAGAAUCUACUGAAAGCUAAAAGCCUUUUCCUGUGUCUUAGCAGCACGGAAGCCACGCCUCCUUCCCCCCAAUGUUUGUGCAAACCCUAGAGAAGAGGAGACAGCCCCUAUGAUGUGUGAGGUUGAAUUUCCUGCCCUCAACCCAUCAAAUCAGGCAGAAUGAGGGCUCAGUCAGAACUACAACUACAAAAGAGAAAAAUUUUAAUGUGACUUUUCUUGUCUGCUCAGAUUUUUGGGUUAAGGUUCAUGCCAGCUACAUUCUUUGCAUAAUAAAAUAUAAAUAGAGUAUAAAUUGUUCUAGUUAGAGAAAACAGCAAAACAGUGCUCUCCCAAGGGCCCUAAUAAAUCACUUUACAGAAACGUGGAUGUGUGUUGGAUUUACAGGAUUUCUAUGCCAAGCAGAGAAGUACGUGAAAACAGGAAAGCAAAAUGCAUAAGUUGCAAUAAUAGUUUUGUGGUUUAGCUGAAUAAUGUCCUAUAUCAACAGAGGAUAAUGAUUUUAGUUUUUCAGUUGCCCCAAGAUCAUUUCCAUUACUGAUGAGGCUUGAAAUGUCUGUGAAGAAGAGUCAUUGCAAUUGAUUUAUUUGUCUGGCAAACUUUUUGUCAGCAAAUUCACCACUACCUCAAAAAUCUCACUAGCUACUCUAUGCUUAAGACAUUGGAAGCAUAAGCCACAAUGAAAACUAACUCUUAGCAUUAGAAUUCUAAGAAGCAGUAAUGUAUUUAUGAUUUUAUGUUAAAAAUCUCCCAGAUGUCAGCAUUUAAAUCACAAUUCAGUAAUAUAAGUAAUUUGAAAUUAGAAAGUUUUAUACUUCACCAUUCUAUUUUCCUCUUCAAAUUGAACACAGUUUGAAAGAAUUAAGAAAAGAAGCUAUAAAAAAUAAAUUGUUCAAGGAUUCUUCCUGUUUCUAAACACCACAAGAUUAUGAUGAUAGAGACAUCAUUUGAAGUGGUAGAGAGUACUGUGAAAUAUCUAUAUGUGAAUGUAAUGAAAAUGAAAAAAUAAUCUGAUGAAUUUUUAAAAUUAAUCUUGUUAGAGUCAUUUUUGAGAAAUUGUAUGCAAGUGUAUUGAUUGAAAAUGACCUUCUCAUUCAAGAAAAAUUUAUUGAGCACUUACCAAGUGUCAACAGGUGAAUGUGAAUAAAAUAGAUAUGGUCCCUGCCUUCUUGGAGUUGAAUAAAAUAGCAAACACUUAUUGAAUAUUUAUUAUAUGUUGUGCAUUAUAAUAUUAACCAAUGUUUAUUGAGUUGUUAUUAUAUGCCAACUAUGCCAAUCCUGUCCUAAGCAAUUUAUGUAUGUUAACUAAUUUAAUCCUCACAAUAAAUCUAUGAGGUAGGUAAAAAAAAA